ACGGCCGCGGUAUCCUAACCGUGCGAAGGUAGCGUAAUCACUUGUCUUUUAAAUGGGGACUUGUAUGAAUGGCAUCACGAGGGUUAUACUGUCUCCUUUUUCUAAUCAGUGAAACUAAUCUUCCCGUGAAGAAGCGGGAAUAAACAUAUAAGACGAGAAGACCCUAUGGAGCUUUAAACUCAAUAACAAAUACUAACCUUACAUUAACCUUCAGAAUAUUAACCUUAAUUUUAGUAUUAUGAUUAUUAGUUUUAGGUUGGGGUGACCGCGGAGUAAAAAUUAACCUCCACAUUGAACGGGACCUAUCCCUGAGCCAAGAACUACAGCUCAAAGCACCAACAAAUUGACAUUAAUUGACCCAAUAUUUUGAUCAACGAACCAAGUUACCCUAGGGAUAACAGCGCAAUCCACUUCAAGAGCUCCUAUCGACAAGUGGGUUUACGA
rnacentral:rRNA from 1 species